rnacentral:rRNA from 1 species
UGGGGAAUUUUGGACAAUGGGCGAAAGCCUGAUCCAGCAAUGCCGCGUGUGUGAAGAAGGCCUUCGGGUUGUAAAGCACUUUUGUCCGGAAAGAAAUCCUUGGCUCUAAUACAGUCGGGGGAUGACGGUACCGGAAGAAUAAGCACCGGCUAACUACGUGCCAGCAGCCGCGGUAAUACGUAGGGUGCAAGCGUUAAUCGGAAUUACUGGGCGUAAAGCGUGCGCAGGCGGUUUGCUAAGACCGAUGUGAAAUCCCCGGGCUCAACCUGGGAACUGCAUUGGUGACUGGCAGGCUAGAGUAUGGCAGAGGGGGGUAGAAUUCCACGUGUAGCAGUGAAAUGCGUAGAGAUGUGGAGGAAUACCGAUGGCGAAGGCAGCCCCCUGGGCCAAUACUGACGCUCAUGCACGAAAGCGUGGGGAGCAAACAGGAUUAGAUACCCUGGUAGUCCACGCCCUAAACGAUGUCAACUAGUUGUUGGGGAUUCAUUUCCUUAGUAACGUAGCUAACGCGUGAAGUUGACCGCCUGAGGAGUACGGUCGCAAGAUUAAAACUCAAAGGAAUUGACGGGGUCAUAGCUGUUUCC